rnacentral:ribozyme from 2 species
CUCUUAAGGCAGCCUAUAGUCAGUGACAAGCCUGUAUAAAUGCUGAGUCAAGAG